AGACACCCAAAGAAAGUGAGAGAAUAGGGCAUGUGGCUAUCUGAAGGAAAAACAUUGUGGGCAAAAGGAAUAGCAAAUGAAAAGGCCCCCAGGUAAAGGUGUGUGUGGCUGGAAAGGAAUUGAGAGGUAGGAAAUAAGAUCAGACACAGCAGAUCAUGUGGGGCCUUGUAAGCCACUGUAAGGAUUUUACCUCUGCACCGAAUAAGACAGGAAGCCAUUGAGUGCUUUGAGCAGAGGAGUGACAUGAUUUGACCUACAUUUAUUUGUAAGAUUGUACUCGCUGUUUAUGUUGAGAAUAGACAACAAGAAGAGCAAAUGCAGAGUCACAGAGAGAAAUCCCAUGGCUACUGCAACAAUACAGGCGAGAAAGUAUGGCAGCUUGGACCAGAGUGGUAGGAGAUGGAAGGAUCUUGCUCUGUCGCCCACGCUGGAAUGCAGUGGUGUGAUCUUGACUCACGGCAACCUCCGCUUCCUGAGCUCAAGUUUGCUGAAAAUGAUGGUUUCCAGCUCUCUUCAUCAGAUCUUUGAAAGUCCUGUGCACGUGGUCCUGGUGUUCAUUGAUAUGAUUGGCCAUUCUUAUGAAAAAACCUCUCGGGCCAGCCGAGGUUUGAGUUUCCAAGUCAGGAAUGAACUGCUGUUGGGCGCACACGGAUAACUCAUGAUCAUAACCGAAGGCUACCAAGACUCUGUGGAGCUCGCUUAACUGGCUCAGGUAAGGGGCAAACUUUCCUGGUGGUCUAUUCAGUGAGCACUUUCUCUGGACUUCCGACUCCUGGAUACUGUCUGGGUAUACCAUUUCCACUCAUUUUCUGAAAUGUGACUCGGGCAUUGGGUAAUUCUGCACUUUACGACAACACAGCUGUACCAAACCUCUUUUGUGGUGAAUCCAGCCACAGAGGUAGCUCAGCCACUCGUCCAAGGUACUUUCCUUGAGGCCGACAUCUAUGAACACCUUCAAGGGCUCAUGUAUGAACAUCAUCAACGGCUUACGCUCUCCUGUCCCUGGAUGGUCCUCCACUGUCUGCCUCUUACUCGUGGCCUCUGGGGAGCACAACAGGGCCCUGGAUCCAUACCACGAGGUCCAGAAAUCCUCAUCAACAUUCCGCAAAUCCAGCACUUGAAGUUUCCACGUCCUGGGGCGAAUCAUCAUGUACACCACUGAAUCAAGUCCCUCCAGCACAGCUUGCAAGGUCUCCAGAUGAGGUGUCUUCAUCAGGGACCCCAGAGGGAGGCGGGGGAAGGGCCAGGUCUGCACCAUGGCCUGUAGAAUCUCAUAGUGCCUGAUGCUGAAUGCCUCCAUGAACAUCAGGGGGAAGACUUCCCCUGGCAGUUCAUCCAGAAUGGAGGUGUCCAAACACAGGUCCCUCAGCAGGCUCUGCGCUGCCAGCUCCAUGAGCCUUCGUGGGGCCUGCAGGCUCAUUCUGAUAAAUCUGCAAGGCAAACAGAUCUGAACUCACUUUGCAGUGUGCUUGGACCUCUUGGAGAACCAGACAGUAACUCCAGGCACCACUGCUCUGGGUCUCUGCUGCAGCUGCUCACGAGCUUUCUUCGGGAGUUUGAUUAUUAAGUGCCUCGAGGUAGUCUUCUUUGAGUUAAAUAUGCUUGGCUUCUAAAGACUUCUUAUAUUUGCAUAUUGAUAUCUUUCUCUAGGUUUGGGAAUUUCUCUGAUAUUAUCCCUUUGAAUAAACUUUUUACCCUGUCUCUUUCUCUAACUCCU
rnacentral:lncRNA from 13 species